rnacentral:rRNA from 1 species
UGGGGAAUAUUGCACAAUGGGCGCAAGCCUGAUGCAGCCAUGCCGCGUGUAUGAAGAAGGCCUUCGGGUUGUAAAGUACUUUCAGUCGGGAGGAAGGUGGUAAGGUUAAUAACCUUAUCAAUUGACGUUACCGACAGAAGAAGCACCGGCUAACUCCGUGCCAGCAGCCGCGGUAAUACGGAGGGUGCAAGCGUUAAUCGGAAUUACUGGGCGUAAAGCGCACGCAGGCGGUUGAUUGAGUCAGAUGUGAAAUCCCCGGGCUUAACCCGGGAAUUGCAUCUGAUACUGGUCAGCUAGAGUCUUGUAGAGGGGGGCAGAAUUCCAUGUGUAGCGGUGAAAUGCGUAGAGAUGUGGAGGAAUACCGGUGGCGAAGGCGGCCCCCUGGACAAAGACUGACGCUCAGGUGCGAAAGCGUGGGGAGCAAACAGG